GUUCAGUGCCUAGCGCCCAUGAUUCUCAUGUCCUGCCUGCCUGUCCUUUCUUUCACUUGCUCAGUCAUCCUCACUGAGCACCAUGGUAUAGGAUGUGGUCUGUGUAGUCCAAUAAUGGCUGCCUCAGGACACAGAGGCCAAGAAUCUGGUAAUUGUUCCGCCCACUAGGCUGGAUGUCUCCGCUGUCCCAGUCUGGUGCAGAAGGCCUGCAGGAUUGCUGAAGUCCUGAAGAAGGAGGUCCUAACACUGGUGAAGCCUGCAGUGAGGUUGAGGGCAAACUAGCAGAGCUGCAAGCUUCUUUCUUCCAUGCCUCUUAUCUGGGUGCCAUCAGAAGGUGCGGCCCACAUUUAGGGUGGGUCUUCUGGCUUCAAAUAAUCUGAUGAAGAAAAUCCCACACAGAAGUUCCCAGAAGCUCAUGUUUUAGCUGAUCGCCGAUGUAGUCAAGUUGACAACCAAGAUGAGCCACCACAGUAGCUCAUGCCAGAAAAGGAGAGACCUUGGCCAUCUUUCAAUCAAGCAGCCUGCCCAGUGCCUUUUCUUGCUUUAACCCUGGACUCUGCCUACCUGCCCUCAAGUUAACUUUGUACUAUACACUUCUGAAGCACAGGUCCGGAGUGCAAUGUCCAUCCUCCCAUUCUCCAAAUCCUCUACCAUGCUUGUUUAGAGGGCAGAGAGGAGAACUUCUUCCUACUUGCCUCACUCAGCUGAAGAACCGCGAGCUGCCGCUACUCCUCUGGAGCCGAGCCUGAGGCUCUUCAAGACACCCGAACAGGUCCCGCUGAAUGCUGACACAGCCCCGAUCCUGCCUCCUGUUGUUUCCUGAAUCCCGACGCCCUGACUGGUGGCUCAGCUCUGCUUUUGCUCAUUCCUUAUCUGAGGCAGCCAUUCCCACCCCACAGAACCCUCAACCCUCAGAGCAUCCAGACGUCCUCGAAUCCCUGUUCCCGUGCACCCCAGCCCCUCACCUGCUCCUUCUGCAGCACGUUCUCCAAUGUUACCGCCUCGGCAGCCACAGGAGGUCUGGAUUUGGCGACUCAGUGGGAAGCUGACAGCCUAGGGGAGGGACUAGAGGAGGCAGUCCUGUCCUGUCCAGUUCCUUGCCAGGCACUUUGUAGGAAACAGCUCAAUUUUCAGGAACUACUCUGAAUUCACAUAACAGAGCCAUGAGUGUCCCAGUGAUUCCGUCAUUAGCAUGUUUUAAUUAGAAGCCCCGCAUUAGCUGCAUCCCAGGAACACUGGAGGAAGGUCCGGGAUUUUACUAGGAAAACCCUGGCUGGAGCUGGUGUUUGGGCCAAGGCCAGAGGUACUUUAGGACAGCCCUGGGGUGUGUGGCAGGAACAAAAUGCAGGGUUAAGACAGAGCGGGCAGCAGCAGAAUUUCAGGGCUGAUGUCCUUGGCCAGCCACACAGUAAAGCCCCAGGACCUAGGAGUCCGCUCUGCUGAUGCCCACCAGCGUCCUACAUUUGUAGACAAACCCUAGCCAGUCUCCUGGGCCCCACCUGGAAAAGGUCCCAGAUACAAGGAGAUUGCAGGUAUUUGACACCUGCUCCUUGCAAAGAGGUUUCGCAGCCUGCUGUGCGGACUGCCUCUGAGAAGCCUCACAGACAGAUGCAGAGACGGCUGUCCACUACUGGAGGGAAGGGCUGCUGUGGAUCCAGCCUUGAGCCAGCUCCGCGCUCGGCUCCAGCCUCCUUGUGGCUUAGCAGUACUGCGAGGUCAGCCCAGUGUCUGGCCUCAUGGACAGUGGGAGGAGGAGUCAGCGGCUGUGCAUGUAACCAGGGCAGGGACCCUGGGGAAGAUAUUCUCGAGGGGCAGGAGAUAGAUGGGGUGACCCUGAAGAGGGUUUGUUUACAUCCCAAGUGACUUGCGAGCUGCGAGGAGACCAGCAUUUAGAAAAUCUGUGUCCACAUGAAUACAGAGGACACUAGGGCAAAGACCCGAGGCCCCACAGUGAUUCUGUAGGAUGUCUGUGGCCUUGUGGAGACCCAGGGGGAGAACUCUGAGAUGUGAUCUCUAGGGGUGAAGAUCCCUAAAGAGGCUAUGCAGCAAGCCAGUCCCUUUCCCACACUGGACCUUAACUUGGCACACUGCACAGGGACAAACAGAGAUCUCUGGAUGUUAAGAAGAGGCCUUGCAGUCUCCAGACAUAUGGUGAUCAAGCCCCAAAGAAGGUGAUGAGAUGUGGCGCCUCCGCCCAGUGACUUGGAGGAGAAAAGGAAGCAGAUUCAAACUCUGGGAGCCUGCAGCUGUGGGGAUGGGCAGGAGGGUCAGACUGACUGGUUUUGGGCCCAGCUGUUCCACAGGCAUUCAGGAAGUGAGAAGGGACACACUGGCCUGAAAGAGUGGCCAGCAGCCCAGAGUAUGGAGCCUUGUCCUUUGUGCUCUUUCAAAGCAGUAAGUUACUUCACGUCGGCAGAUAAAACCAAGAGCCUGCAGCCUUGAGGAAGACAGUUCCAUGCAAGCGUGGAACUCAGAUGCUUACAUGGAGUUCUGAGACCAGGCAGGACCCUCACAGGUUCCCCCAGAAACCCCCAGUGCCAGCACAGACUGGAGAAAUCCAGACACCAGGACAUCAUGGGCUCCAUAACCUUGCCCCUGUCCCUGAGACUACAGCCCAGGUUACCACUGCCUACUCCCUCCCUCCUCUGACUUCAUCUCCCAGGCAAGGCCGCCACAGUCUUCGAACAUCAGAGGGGGCCUCUGGCUGAUGGGGGGCUAAGGGGAAGCUGAGGGUACCCAGUGUCUUUCCCACAGAGAUGCUCUGCACAGUUAAGCAAACGUUCAUUUCCUCUGUGGAAGUGCAACCAGUGGGUGCAUUUCGAAAGUGAGAAGGGAAAAGGGCAAGGAAACAAGCAGACCAGAAUGGUCCCAGCGGUCUAGAGAACGUCCCCACUUUACUUUCCCUUUCAUGGCUCCUUCUUCUUUUCCUUUCUUUUCCGUUUUUCUCAUUACAGAGCCCCGGUUGGCCUGGAUGUCAUUAAGCAUAUCAGGCUGACCUCAGACUCACAAAGAUCAGGCUACCUCUUCCUCCUGAACGCUGGCUGGGAUUGCAGGUGUUCUACCACAUCCUGGAAAGCCAGCUCCCGGGACUGCACCAGGGUUGCAGCAAGAUCGCCUUCAGAGCAGCAGAGACUUGGAGAAAUCUUCUUCUCCAUCUGACGACUAGACUUUUUCUAUCCGAGGGUAAAUAAGGGAUUACGCGCUUUUUGAGG